rnacentral:rRNA from 1 species
AACGAACGCUGGCGGCAUGCCUAACACAUGCAAGUCGAACGCUAUCUUUGAUAGAGUGGCGCACGGGUGAGUAACGCGUGGGAACCUGCCUUUCACUGCGGGACAACGGUUGGAAACGACCGCUAAUACCGCAUACGCCCUACGGGGGAAAGAUUUAUCGGUGAUAGAGGGGCCCGCGUCUGAUUAGCUUGUUGGUAGGGUAAUGGCCUACCAAGGCGACGAUCGGUAGCUGGUCUGAGAGGAUGAUCAGCCACACUGGGACUGAGACACGGCCCAGACUCCUACGGGAGGCAGCAGUGGGGAAUAUUGGACAAUGGGGGCAACCCUGAUCCAGCAAUGCCGCGUGUGUGAUGAAGGCCUUAGGGUUGUAAAGCACUUUCACUGGUGAAGAUGAUGACGGUAACCAGAGAAGAAGCCCCGGCUAACUUCGUG